GCUAAGUCUGUGCUAGAGUGAGAGGAAAGUAGGAGGAUCAAAGGGUUUGCCGGAAGCAGUGGGUUGAAAGGGUCUGUAGUCGGAUUUAUAAGGUAGUGGUGACAGCCCAUCGCUUAACGAUGGAACGGGCAUUGAUACUGUAGAGCUUGAAUUACUUAGAAGUAACUAGAAUAGGUAAUGUAGCGGUGAAAUGCUGAGGUAUUACAUGGAAUACCAAUUGCGAAGGCAUGUUACUACAAGUGGAUUGACGCUGAUGGACGAAAGCGUGGGGAGCGAACAGGAUUAGAUACCCAAGUAGUC
rnacentral:rRNA from 1 species